UACGUAGGGGGCAAGCGUUGUCCGGAUUUAUUGGGCGUAAAGAGCGUGUAGGCGGCCAUACAGGUCCGUUGUGAAAACUGGAGGCUUAACCUCCAGACGUCGAUGGAAACCGUAUGGCUAGAGUCCGGAAGAGGAGAGUGGAAUUCCUGGUGUAGCGGUGAAAUGCGCAGAUAUCAGGAAGAACACCCGUGGCGAAGGCGGCAUCCUGGACCGGUAUUGACGCUGAUGCGCGAAAGCCAGGGGAGCAAACGGG
rnacentral:rRNA from 1 species